rnacentral:rRNA from 1 species
GACGAACGCUGGCGGCGUGCUUAACACAUGCAAGUCGAACGGAAAGGCCCUGCUUUUGUGGGCUGCUCGAGUGGCGAACGGGUGAGUAACACGUGAGUAACCUGCCCUGUACUUUGGGAUAACUUCUGGAAACUGGGGCUAAUACCGCAUAGGAGCUCCUGCUGCAUGGUGGGGGCUGGAAAGUUUCGGCGGUUGGGCAUGGACUCGCGGCUUAUCAGCUUGUUGGUGGGGUAGUGGCUUCCCAAGGCUUUGGCGGGUAGCCGUCCUGAGAGGGUGACCGGCCAUAUUGGGACUGGGGUACGGGCCAGAGUCCUACGGGAGGCAGCGGUGGGGAAUAGUGCGCAAUGGGCGGAAGGCUGAUGCAGCAACGCCGCGUGCGGAAUGACGGCCUUCGGGUUGUAAACCGCUUUCGCGUGUGACGAAGAGUGAGUGACGGUAAUGGGUCAAGAAGCAACGGCUAACUACGUG